UACAGAGGUCCCAAGCGUUGUUCGGAUUCACUGGGCGUAAAGGGUGCGUAGGUGGCGAGGUAAGUCGGAUGUGAAAGCUCGGAGCUCAACUCCGAAAUGGCAUUGGAAACUACCUUGCUCGAGGGUUGGAGGGGGGACUGGAAUACUUGGUGUAGCAGUGAAAUGCGUAGAUAUCAAGUGGAACACCAGUGGCGAAGGCGAGUCCCUGAACAACUCCUGACACUGAGGCGCGAAAGCUAGGGGAGCAAACAGG
rnacentral:rRNA from 1 species